GUCGCUGUGGCCGAGUGGUUAAGGCGAUUGACUAGAAUUCUACGGUUCUAGAUCAUCAAUUCCUUUCGGGGGCAUAGGUUCGAGUCCUAUCGGCGACG
rnacentral:tRNA from 1 species